rnacentral:tRNA from 1 species
UAUUUUAAUAGCUUACAUAGAGCGUAAUGUUGAAGACAUUAAUGAAGAUAGUUCUUUAAAAUAU